rnacentral:rRNA from 1 species
CGUGAGAAUCUGCCCUCAGGAGGGGGAUAACGGCUGGAAACGGCCGCUAAUACCCCAUAUGCCGCGAGGUGAAACGAAAUUCGCCUGAGGAUGAGCUCGCGUCUGAUUAGCUAGUUGGUGGGGUAAGAGCCUACCAAGGCAUCGAUCAGUAGCUGGUCUGAGAGGAUGAUCAGCCACACUGGGACUGAGACACGGCCCAGACUCCUACGGGAGGCAGCAGUGGGGAAUUUUCCGCAAUGGGCGAAAGCCUGACGGAGCAACGCCGCGUGAGGGAUGAAGGCCUCUGGGCUGUAAACCUCUUUUCUCAAGGAAGAAGAUCUGACGGUACUUGAGGAAUAAGCCACGGCUAAUUCCGUGCCAGCAGCCGCGGUAAUACGGGGGUGGCAAGCGUUAUCCGGAAUUAUUGGGCGUAAAGCGUCCGCAGGCGGCCCUUCAAGUCUGCUGUUAAAAAGUGGAGCUUAACUCCAUCGUGGCAGUGGAAACUGUUGGGCUAGAGUGUGGUAGGGGCA